rnacentral:rRNA from 1 species
CCUACGGGAGGCAGCAGUGGGGAAUAUUGCACAAUGGGCGAAAGCCUGAUGCAGCGACGCCGCGUGAGGGAUGGAGGCCUUCGGGUUGUAAACCUCUUUCGCUCAUGGUCAAGCCGCAACUGUGGGUUGUGGUGAGGGUAGUGGGUAAAGAAGCGCCGGCUAACUACGUGCCAGCAGCCGCGGUAAUACGUAGGGCGCGAGCGUUGUCCGGAAUUAUUGGGCGUAAAGGGCUUGUAGGCGGUUGGUCGCGUCUGCCGUGAAAUCCUCUGGCUUAACUGGGGGCGUGCGGUGGGUACGGGCUGACUUGAGUGCGGUAGGGGAGACUGGAACUCCUGGUGUAGCGGUGGAAUGCGCAGAUAUCAGGAAGAACACCGGUGGCGAAGGCGGGUCUCUGGGCCGUUACUGACGCUGAGGAGCGAAAGCGUGGGGAGCGAACAGGAUUAGAUACCCUGGUAGUCCACGCUGUAAACGUUGGGCACUAGGUGUGGGGGCCACCCGUGGUUUCUGCGCCGUAGCUAACGCUUUAAGUGCCCCGCCUGGGGAGUACGGCCGCAAGGCUAAAACUCAAAGGAAUUGACGGGGGCCCGCACAAGCGGCGGAGCAUGCGGAUUAAUUCGAUGCAACGCGAAGAACCUUACCAAGGCUUGACAUGCACGGCGGCACUGCAGAGAUGUGGUGGCAUUUAGUUGGUCGUGUGCAGGUGGUGCAUGGUUGUCGUCAGCUCGUGUCGUGAGAUGUUGGGUUAAGUCCC